GUAAAAUUCAUGAAGUGUGUCAACAACAUCCUUACAUGGCCAUCGGACCAAAGACAGAUCCCCUGUUGGGUGCCAUUCCAACAUAUCAUUUGUUGUGUCAGUGUGCCAGACAUCUAUGGACGCAGUGCUCGCCAAUUCAAACUUGACCAAAAGGACCAUGACAAAAUUAUGCCACUGCUUCCACAAUUUCUUGGAUAAUAGUUAAAGACACUAUUCAAUUCAAUUUUCAAUUACAUUUUAUUUGGAGAGUGACAGCG